GUGCCAGCCGCCGCGGUAACACGUAGGGGCCGAGCGUUGUCCGGAUUCAUUGGGCGUAAAGAGCUCGUAGGCGGUUCAGUCAGUCGGGUGUGAAAUCUCCGGGCUCAACUCGGAGGGGCCACCCGAUACUGCUGUGACUUGAGUCCGGUAGGGGAGUGGGGAAUUCCUGGUGUAGCGGUGAAAUGCGCAGAUAUCAGGAGGAACACCGGUGGCGAAGGCGCCACUCUGGGCCGGUACUGACGCUGAGGAGCGAAAGCGUGGGGAGCAAACAGGAUUAGAUACCCGGGUAGUCC
rnacentral:rRNA from 1 species